CUGCGGGCUGCAGAGCAUCAGAGAAGCUGUGUUGCAAACGUCACAGAGCCCUAUGGCCUUCAGCAUGGUACAAAUCCCAA
rnacentral:lncRNA from 1 species